CUGCUAGACUCCGAUAAUACCUGACCCAUAUAUUUAUAUGUAUUCCUCCUAUUUAAACCUGCUUCAGUGCUCUUCAUUGCGUGCUGUUGUAGGCCGGUACAAUUACUUUGAACAAAUUAGAGUGCUUAAAGCAGGCUCCAAAUGCCUGAAUAUUUUGUGCAUGGAAUAAUGAAAUAAGACCUCUGUUCUACUUUCAUUGGUUUUUAGAUCAAGAGGUAAUGAUUAAUAGAAGCAGUUUGGGGGCAUUAGUAUUACGACGCGAGAGGUGAAAUUCUUGGACCGUCGUAAGACUAACUUAAGCGAAAGCAUUUGCCAAAGAUGUUUUCAUUAAUCAAGAACGAAAGUUAGAGGUUCGAAGGCGAUCAGAUACCGCCCUAGUUCUAACCAUAAACGAUGCCAGCUAGCAAUUGGGUGUAGCUACUAUUAUGGCUCUCUCAGUCGCUUCCCGGGAAACCAAAGCUUUUGGGCUCCGGGGGAAGUAUGGUUGCAAAGCUGAAACUUAAAGGAAUUGACGGAAGGGCACCACCAGGAGUGGAGCCUGCGGCUUAAUUUGACCCAACACGGGAAAACUUACCAGGUCCGAACAUAAGCGUGUAAGACAGAUUGAUAGCUCUUUCUCGAAUCUAUGGGUGGUGGUGCAUGGCCGUUCUUAGUUCGUGGAGUGAUUUGUCUGGUUAAUUCCGAUAACGAACGAGACUCAAAUAUAUUAAAUAGAUGCUUUCAGGAUUAUGGUGUUUGAAGCUUUUAUAGCCUUCAUUCAUGAAUGCAGUAACAUGUGUGAGUGCUUGAAUGUGUUUAUAAAGGUGGAGCCGUACCUGUUGGUUUGUCCCAUUAUAAGGACACUAGCUUCCUAAAUGGACAAAUUGCGUCUAGCAAUAAUGAGAUUGAGCAAUAACAGGUCUGUGAUGCCCUUAGAUGUCCUGGGCUGCACGCGCGCUACAAUGAAAGUAUCAACGUGUAUUUCCUAGACCGAGAGGUCCGGGUAAACCGCUGAACCACUUUCAUGCUUGGGAUUGUGAACUGAAACUGUUCACAUGAACUUGGAAUUCCCAGUAAGUGUGAGUCGUUAACUCGCAUUGAUUACGUCCCUGCCCUUUGUACACACCGCCCGUCGCUACUACCGAUUGAAUUAUUUAGUGAGGUCUCCGGACGUGAUCACUGUAACGCCUUGCGUGUUACGGAUGUUUCGCAAAAGUUGACCGAACUUGAUUAUUUAGAGGAAGUAAAAGUC
rnacentral:rRNA from 1 species